rnacentral:rRNA from 1 species
GGUGCGAGCGUUGUCCGGAAUUAUUGGGCGUAAAGGGCUCGUAGGCGGUUUGUCACGUCGGGAGUGAAAACUCAGGGCUUAACCCUGAGCCUGCUUCCGAUACGGGCAGACUAGAGGUAUGCAGGGGAGAACGGAAUUCCUGGUGUAGCGGUGAAAUGCGCAGAUAUCAGGAGGAACACCGGUGGCGAAGGCGGUUCUCUGGGCAUUACCUGACGCUGAGGAGCGAAAGUGUGGGGAGCGAACAGGAUUAGAUACCCUGGUAGUCCACACCGUAAACGUUGGGCGCUAGGUGUGGGACUCAUUCCACGAGUUCCGUGCCGCAGCUAACGCAUUAAGCGCCCCGCCUGGGGAGUACGGACGCAAGGCUAAAACUCA